rnacentral:RNase_P_RNA from 1 species
AAAGUGAACUGGGGGGUCGCUGGCGGUAUUUUUUACCGCGAGAGGAAAGUCCGGGCUCCACAGGACAGGGUGGUCGGUAACGCCGACCGACCGCAAGGUCAGGGAAAGUGCAGCAGAAAGUAAACCGCCUCCAUGCUUGCAUGGCGGUAAGGGUGAAACGGUGCGGUAAGAGCGCACCAGCAGCCGGGGCGACUCGGCUGGCUUGGUAAACCCCACCCGGAGCAAAGCCAAACAGAGAGGAAGAGGGCGGCAACGCUCUCCUGAGGCGGUCCGUCUCAGUCGACUCUCGGGUAGGCUGCUUGAAGCGGCGAGCAAUCGCCGUUCUAGAUAAAUGACCGCCGCUUCGCCCUCGGGCGAAGAGACAGAACCCGGCUUACAGGUUCACUUUGCGA